rnacentral:rRNA from 1 species
CGAGAAAGUGGAAGCAAUCCAUGAGUAAAGUGGCGCACGGGUGAGUAACACGUGACUAACCUACCCUUGAGUGGGGGAUAACUGAGGGAAACCUUAGCUAAUACCGCAUAAUACCUACGGGUCAAAGGAGCAAUUCGCUCGAGGAGGGGGUCGCGGCCGAUUAGUUAGUUGGCAGGGUAAUGGCCUACCAAGACGAUGAUCGGUAUCCGGCCUGAGAGGGCGCACGGACACACUGGAACUGAAACACGGUCCAGACUCCUACGGGAGGCAGCAGUGGGGAAUUUUGCGCAAUGGGGGAAACCCUGACGCAGCAACGCCGCGUGGAGGAUGAAGUCCUUCGGGACGUAAACUCCUUUCGAUCGGGACGAUUAUGACGGUACCGGAAGAAGAAGCCCCGGCUAACUUCGUGCCAGCAGCCGCGGUAAUACGAGGGGGGCGAGCGUUGUUCGGAAUUAUUGGGCGUAAAGGGUGCGUAGGCGGUUUGGUAAGUCUUUUGUGAAAUCUCUGGGCUCAACUCAGAGCUUGCAGGAGAAACUGCCGGGCUUGAGUGUGGGAGAGGUGAGUGGAAUUUCCGGUGUAGCGGUGAAAUGCGUAGAUAUCGGAAGGAACACCUGUGGCGAAAGCGGCUCACUGGACCACAACUGACGCUGAUGCACGAAAGCUAGGGGAGCAAACAGGAUUAGAUACCCUGGUAGUCCUAGCCCUAAACGAUGACU